rnacentral:rRNA from 1 species
UACAAUCUUUAUUAACCCAUGUUAAAAAGAUAAAAGCUCCGGCGGUGUAAAAUGAGCGUGCGUCCUAUUAGCUAGUUGGUGAGGCAAUGGCUCACCAAGGCUACGAUGGGUAGGGGUUCUUAGUGGAAGAUCCCCCACACUGGCACUGAGAUACGGGCCAGACUCCUACGGGAGGCAGCAGUAGGGAAUAUUGGUCAAUGGGCGCAAGCCUGAACCAGCCAUGCCGCGUGCAGGAUGAAAGCUCUCUGAGUUGUAAACUGCUUUUGUACAGGAGCAAAACAAUCCCUGCGGGGAUUCUUGAGAGUACUGUAAGAAUAAGCACCGGCUAAUUCCGUGCCAGCAGCCGCGGUAAUACGGAAGGUGCAAGCGUUAUCCGGUUUUAUUGGGUUUAAAGGGUGCGUAGGCGGCUUAUUAAGUCAGUUGUGAAAUCCUAGUGCUUAACGCUAGAACUGCAAUUGAUACUAUUAGGCUUGAGUUAAGAAUAGGUAAGUAGAAUUUAUGGUGUAGUAGUGAAAUGCUUAGAUAUCAUAAGGAAUACCAAUAGCGUAGGCAGCUUACUGGUCUUUAACUGACGCUGAGGCACGAAAGCGUGGGGAGCAAACAGGAUUAGAUACCCUGGUAGUCCACGCCGUAAACGAUGAUCACUCGAUAUACAUAAACUUUAUGUGUGUCUAAGCGAAAGCGUUAAGUGAUCCACCUGGGGAGUAUACUCGCAAGGGUGAAACUCAAAGGAAUUGACGGGGGUCCGCACAAGCGGUGGAGUAUGUGGUUUAAUUCGAUAAUACGCGAGGAACCUUACCUGGGCUAGAAUGUAUUUUGCUACUUUGAA